rnacentral:rRNA from 1 species
AAUCAACGCUGGCGGCGUGCCUCAGACAUGCAAGUCGAACGCGAAAGGCCCCUUCGGGGGCCCGGUAGAGUGGCGCACGGGUGAGUAACACGUAGGUAAUUUGCCUUCGGGUGGGGAAUAACAGCCGGAAACGGACUGCUAAUACCGCAUAAUAGCAGCGGCUCGACAUCGAGACAGUUGUUAAAGCGGGGGAUCGCAAGACCUCGCGCCCUGAAGAGAAGCCUGCGGCAGAUAGCUUGUUGGUGAGGUAAUGGCUCACCAAGGCGACGAUCUGUAACCGGCCUGAGAGGGCGGUCGGUCACACUGACACUGACAUACGGGUCAGACUCCUAC